rnacentral:rRNA from 1 species
CCCUUAGAUGUUCUGGGCGGCCCGCGCACUACAAUGGCGUGUGCAGCGAGUGCCGAAGUAGAGUUUUCCGAGGUAUUCUUGCAAUGCUCGUUUUGAUGGGGAUAGACCCUUGCAACUGUUGGUUUUGAACGAGGAAUUCCUUGUAAGCAUGGUUUAUCAUCCGACGCUGAAUGCGUCCCUGCCCUUUGUACACACCGCCCGUCGCUCCUACCGAUGAGUCGUCCGGUGGAGUUCGUAGACCUCGUGAUCGCGGAUCACUGGGGGAAGCAAAAUGAACCUCGCGGUUUAGAGGAAGGAGAAGUCGUAACA